rnacentral:misc_RNA from 1 species
UGUGGGAGCGAGCUUGCUCGCGAUGGCGUCCGAUCAUUCAACAUAGAUGUUGGCUGUCAGAUUGCUAUCGCGAGCAAGCUCGCUCCCACA